UGAGGAAUAUUGGUCAAUGGGCGAGAGCCUGAACCAGCCAAGUCGCGUGAAGGAAGACAGUCCUAAGGAUUGUAAACUUCUUUUAUACGGGAAUAACGGGCGAUACGAGUAUUGCAUUGAAUGUACCGUAAGAAUAAGCAUCGGCUAACUCCGUGCAAGCAGCCGCGGUAAUACGGAGGAUGCGAGCGUUAUCCGGAUUUAUUGGGUUUAAAGGGUGCGUAGGUUGUUCGGUAAGUCAGCGGUGAAACCUGAGCGCUCAACGUUCAGCCUGCCGUUGAAACUGCCGGGCUUGAGUUCAGUGGCGGCAGGCGGAAUUCGUGGUGUAGCGGUGAAAUGCAUAGAUAUCACGAGGAACUCCGAUUGCGAAGGCAGCUUGCCAUACUGAGACUGACACUGAAGCACGAAGGCGUGGGUAUCAAACAGG
rnacentral:rRNA from 1 species